rnacentral:rRNA from 1 species
CAGCAGCCACGGUAAUACGAAGGGUGCAAGCGUUAAUCGGAAUUACUGGGCGUAAAGCGCGCGUAGGUGGUUUGGUAAGAUGGAUGUGAAAUCCCCGGGCUCAACCUGGGAACUGCAUCCAUAACUGCCUGACUAGAGUACGGUAGAGGGUGGUGGAAUUUCCUGUGUAGCGGUGAAAUGCGUAGAUAUAGGAAGGAACACCAGUGGCGAAGGCGACCACCUGGACUGAUACUGACACUGAGGUGCGAAAGCGUGGGGAGCAAACAGGAUUAGAUACCCCGGUAGUCCCUGUCUCUUAUAC